CUUUCCUUCCCGUCGCGCGUCUAGACGCGCAGCCGCCUCGACGCACGCACGCACGAUGCUGGCGUGUAUGCGGAUGAUCACAUCAGCAGGAUGACAAAAACGACGACUGAGAAGGUGAAGGAGAAGAGCAGCUGCAAAUUUGUCACGUAAGAGCAACUUAUGCCUCUCCUGUAUCUGCACAUGUGCAAAAAGACCACUAAAGAAUGACUUUUAAAUAAGAAGCAACAUGGGUUUUACACCAUUUCAACUCCAAAAAAGUAACUCUAAAGUCAUUUAUGAACCCCAAGACGGACUAUCAAGCACAAAAGUGAAAUUGCGUAAAAGAGAUCCAAUAGCCUUUGCAGACAUUAUGAUCAAUUUCGAAAAUAGGCGUUACCUUCGCAGCUCUGCAGUGCACAUCAAUUUAAUCUUAUAAUGUUGACUAACAUUUCUA